rnacentral:tRNA from 1 species
GCAGACGUGGCCGAGUGGUUAAGGCGUUCGGCUGCUAUUCGAUCAACUAGAAACCAACUGUCCACACUCACUUCUAUUUCAAUCUCAGCAUUGAGAUAUCCAACACACGAGCAUUGUGAAUACCAAUGAUACACGACUGUUACUGAAUACCCAACGGGUGCGCGAGUUCGAACCUCGUCGUCUGCG